CACAGAACUGCCCGGUCCUGCCCGCUGGGGAGUUUCCUCCUUCUUUGAAAGCGAGAAUGAAAUCUCUGCUGCUUUUCCUUUCCCUCUUCUCCACCCUGGCCUGUGUUCUCUCCCAGGUGCAGCUGGUCCAGUCCGGGCAGGGCGUGGUGAAGCCCGGAGAGACCCUCGCACUGACCUGCGCUGUCUCCGGCUUCUCUAUCUCUACUCAGCAUUACGACUGGCACUGGAUCCGGCAGCCCCCCGGGAAAGGGCUGGAGUGGAUGGGACGGGUAUAUCCGUAUAGUAGCGGGACCACAAACUACGCCCCGUCUCUGCAAGGCCGAAUCACCAUCUCUGCAGACACCGCCAAGAACCAGUUCUCGCUGCAGCUCCGCUCGCUGACAGCUGCAGACACCGGCACCUAUUACUGCGCCAGGAGAGACACAGUGACACAGAGCAGAGCGGGACUGGCACAAAAAGUGGAAGCUGUUUCCUAACAGCCCAGGGGGACGACAGUCACAGGGAGAGGUGAGCCCAUUGAGAGAAACAGAUCACACACGGUGAAGUCACUAUGAACAAAAUACAUAGACAGAGGUGGUUUUGUUUUAAAUCCACGCUGUAGUUACCCAGUUUCUCUGGACGCGCCUUACCUUCCGCAGCCACAGAAAUCGUCUCAAA